rnacentral:rRNA from 1 species
UACGGGGGGGGCAAGCGUUGUUCGGAAUUACUGGGCGUAAAGGGCUCGUAGGCGGCCAACUAAGUCAGACGUGAAAUCCCCAGGCUCAACCUGGGAACUGCGUCUGAUACUGGAUGGCUUGAAUCCGGGGAGAGGGAUGCAGAAUUCCAGGUGUAGCGGUGAAAUGCGUAGAUAUCUGGAGGAAUACCGGUGGCGAAGGCGGCAUCCUGGACCGGCAUUGACGCUGAGGAGCGAAAGCCAGGGGAGCAAACGGG